rnacentral:rRNA from 1 species
UACGAAGGGGGCUAGCGUUAUCCGGAGUUACUGGGCGUAAAGGGCUCGUAGGCGGCCAACUAAGUCAGACGUGAAAUCCCUCGGCUCAACUGGGGAACUGCGUCUGAUACUGGAUGGCUCGAGUUUGGGAGAGGGAUGCGGAAUUCCAGGUGUAGCGGUGAAAUGCGUAGAUAUCUGGAGGAACACCGGUGGCGAAGGCGGCAUCCUGGACCAGCACUGACGCUGAGGAGCGAAAGCCAGGGGAGCAAACGGG